rnacentral:rRNA from 1 species
GCGGGAGCUGCGCCCUCAGGACGCUGGCGGAAGGCCUCCAAUCUGCCCGUCUUGAAACACGGACCAAGGAGUAUAACAUGCAUGCGAGCCGGUGGGCGGAAAACCCACGAGGCGCAAGUAACCUGACUGGUGGGAUGGCCCGUGCCUGCACCAUCAACCGACCGCGAUCUUCUGUGACUGGUUUGAGUGCGAGCAUGUUUGUUGUGACCCGAAAGAUGGUGAACUAUGCCUGAGCAGGGCGAAGCCAGAGGAAACUCUGGUGGAGGCUCGUAGAUGUGCUGACGUGCAAAUCGCUUUUCGGAUUUGGGUAUAGGGGCGAAAGACUAAUCGAACCAUCUAGUAGCUGGUUCCCUCCGAAGUUUCCCCCAGGAUAGCUGGAGCUCGGUCAGUUUUAUCAGGUAAAGCGAAUGAUUAGAGGUUCGGGGGGCUCAAAGCCCUUCACCUAUUCUCAAACUUUAAAUAGGUAAGACGUCCGGGGCGCUUGGCUGGCCCCGGGCAUUCAAUGAGAGCUCCAAGUGGGCCAUUUUUGGUAAGCAGAACUGGCGAUGCGGGGAUGAACCGAAAGCU